GUCCGUUCCGUUGGAGCCUUCGGCUCAGUCAAGAAGUUGAAAGAUGCCUCUGCAAAGACUACUCCCCCAUCAGUCAGCCACGCCUUCCCACAUCAGUCAACGGACGCAUGUAGUGGGCACGUGCCCGUAGUGGGCACGGGGCGUUAGGCAAUCUGGUGCACCGAAGUGCUCCGUUAUGACGGUGAGGAGGUUCUGUGUGGAGCACAACCUGCGAAGAAGAAAUCUAGUUUCCGACACGGAUUUGGAAAUGGCAGUGGUUUCUUCCAUCAACAAGAUGUGCAGUGGUUGCCAAUGGGAUGUGGGACCAAGUCAGAGUUGACCAUGGGAAGGAGUUCUAUCUGUGCCUGUACAUCCAGGAAAUCCUUUCCAGGCAAAGGUAUAACCUCAGCAGGCAACCAUACUUGCAGACUACAUCUUCAAGGAAUCUUAGGGUGGAGCGGAUUUGGCCUGAAGUCAAUAACCGGGUAAACUAACCACUGAAGCAGGCCCUGGUGCACCUGACUGACCAAGAGGCCAUAGACAUGCAGGACAACACAGUGAAGUUCUGUGUGUCUAACCUGACGUGCCAACUCAGCCAGAUUGGGCUAGACAGGGUUGUGCAGUCAUGGAAUGCACAUAGGAUUCCAGGUAGAGGAAUACCUAAUGAACUAGCUGCAGCAGGAUGCCCAGCACAGAUAUCGGAGGACCUGCUACCCAGUGCUUCUGUUGCUGCUGACAGAUAUGAGCAGGAGUUUGGAAGCUCUCUCAGCAGGGAGGCAGCCUUUGGCGUGGACCCCUUUCACACUGAGGCAGACAGGAGCCGGGCACAAAGGGACUUUGCGGUGACCUACCCUGAUCCCUCUGUCAUUUUUGACAAUGUGGUCAACAAUGACCAUAGUGCAUUUCAUGAAGCCCUUUUCUGCCUGCUGAAUGCCCCGGAGAGGAAUGUGUGAAAUGCUUUGAUGGAUGUGUGACUGCCUGUGUAUAUUGUUAAGUGUUAAGUGUGAUUAACUGUAAAUGUUCUUAAUGAUGCUGUUAAUAAUGUAUGUGUUUAUCUGCCGUUUUCACAGUG
ensembl:lncRNA